CAGGAAGAAGUCCCUUUGAAACAACUCUACUCUAGCAUUCCAAUAAAAGAUGUGUAUAAAUGAUCUGAUGUCUUGAGCUGUCUUAGUUACGUCAUGCCCAAAACGCAGUACCGUGUGCUUUACAUUACGAGAACAUAAAUGUUAAACUCAUAGCUGAAGGAAAGUGCUCUGCUCCUCUUUUUGUGCUGGAAGCUGACACUUUUACUCUUCUGAACAUUUUUAGGUUUUUACAAGUAUGUCAUCAAGGCCGAAAGAUCUUUAAUGUCAAACUUUCAUCUUUACUAAUAAUUACAACAUUUUUAUCUAA